UACGGGAGGCAGCAGUGGGGAAUAUUGCACAAUGGGCGCAAGCCUGAUGCAGCCAUGCCGCGUGUAUGAAGAAGGCCUUCGGGUUGUAAAGUACUUUCAGUCGUGAGGAAGGUGUUAAGGUUAAUAACCUUAGCAAUUGACGUUAGCGACAGAAGAAGCACCGGCUAACUCCGUGCCAGCAGCCGCGGUAAUACGGAGGGUGCGAGCGUUAAUCGGAAUUACUGGGCGUAAAGGGCACGCAGGCGGUUAAUUAAGUUGGAUGUGAAAUCCCCGGGCUUAACCUGGGAAUGGCAUUCAAGACUGGUUAGCUAGAGUCUUGUAGAGGGGGUUAGAAUUCCAUGUGUAGCGGUGAAAUGCGUAGAGAUGUGGAGGAAUACCGGUGGCGAAGGCGGCCCCUGGACAAGACUGACGCUCAUGUGCGAAAGCGUGGGGAGCAAAC
rnacentral:rRNA from 1 species